rnacentral:misc_RNA from 1 species
ACGAGUUAGGGUCUUCCAGGCCCGACCUCCCAACCCAAUGUUUACUACACCGUUUGUUGCUUCGGCGAGCCCGUCUUCACGGACCGCCGGGGGACCGUCAUAGGUCUCCUGGCCCGCGCCCGUCGGUAGCCUCUAAAACUCUUUAACCAAACAUGUUUUGACUAAGUACCAAUUGUUAAUUAAAAACA